rnacentral:rRNA from 1 species
CCUACGGGUGACAGCAGUGGGGAAUAUUGCGCACUGGAGGAAACUCUGAUGCAGCGACGCCGCGUGAGUGACGAAGUCAUUCGGUAUGUAAAGCUCUAUCAGCAGGGCAGAAAGUGACGGUACCUGCAAAAGAAGCUCCGGCUAAAUACGUGCCAGCAGCCGCGGUAAUACGUAGGGAGCAAGCGUUAUCCGGAUUUACUGGGGGUAAAGGGAGAGUAGGUGGCAGGUCAAGUCCGAAGUGAAAACCCAAAGCUCAACUAUGGGAAUGCUCUAGAUACUUACCAGCUAGAGUGCAGGAGAGGCAAGGGGAAUGCUUGGUGUAGCGGUGAAAUGCGUAGAUAUUAGGAGGAACACCAGUGGCGAAGGCGGUUUGCUGGACUGUAACUGACACUGAGGCUCGAAAGCGUGGGGAGCAAACAGGAUUAGAUACCCGAGUAGUC